rnacentral:rRNA from 1 species
GACGGAGGAUGCAAGUGUUAUCCGGAAUCACUGGGCGUAAAGCGUCUGUAGGUUGUCAAAUAAGUCAACUGUUAAAUCUUGAGGCUCAACUUCAAAAUCGCAGUCGAAACUAUUAGACUAGAGUAUAGUAGGGGUAAAGGGAAUUUCCAGUGGAGCGGUGAAAUGCGUAGAGAUUGGAAAGAACACCGAUGGCGAAGGCACUUUACUGGGCUAUUACUGACACUCAGAGACGAAAGCUAGGGUAGCAAAUGGGAUUAGAUACCCCUAGU